rnacentral:rRNA from 1 species
UACGGAGGGUGCGAGCGUUGUCCGGAAUCACUGGGCGUAAAGGGCGCGUAGGCGGUCGUGUAGGUACCUGGUGACAGUCUCGGGCUCAACUCGAGGGGGUCUGGGUAGACCGCACGACUGGAGGCAGGGAGAGGGAUGUGGAAUACCCGGUGGAGCGGUGAAAUGCGUAGAGAUCGGGUGGAACACCAGUGGCGAAGGCGGCAUCCUGGCCCUGACCUGACGCUGAGGCGCGAGAGCGUGGGGAGCAAACGGG